GCCGAGCAUGGUGGCAUGUGCCUGUAAGUCCCAGCUACUUGGGAGGCUGAGGCAGAAGAAUUGCUUCAAUCCAGGAGGUGCAGGUUGCAGUGAGCCAAGAUAACGCCACCGCACUCCAGCCUGGGUGACAGAGCGAGACUCCGUCUCCAAAAAAAUAAAAAGUGUAGACUAUAGACAACUAGAAUUUCUAGACUGUCUGGCUUGGGGUAGGUCUGGUUGGGGAUUGGGAGAAUGCUUGGGGGAUUUACUGAGAAGUGGUCACUGUUUCUAUGCUAAGCUCUGUUUUUCACUUAGGUUAUAGGUAUUUGGGUGGCCUUUCAGGCAAUGGAGGUUAUGAGGGAGCUAAGGCCCCUGUGGACCCCUUGGCACCAGCACUGGCAUAGGCCCACUUGCUACCACCAGAACUGAGCACAUAUGGGAGCAUUCACGGGGCUGAUUAAGGAAGGCUUCCUGGAGGAAGGGAGUUUGAGGCAUGUUUGAAAGAAGAAGAGGGGGGAUUAUAAAACACGAAAGUGACAGCAGACAGGUUUAUGUAACAUCCAGGAGCAAGAAUGAGACUCUGAGGGCAUCCAGGACCCACCUUCAUUGUAGGGACAAAAGCACCAAGGUCUCAGCCAGGUGAGGGAGUUUGCCCAAGGCACAGUGACUGAACUGGAACUGGUGCUGCAGGGAGCUGGAAGGAAGGAAGGAAGUCCAAACAGAGGGAACGUGGACAGACUCAGGCACAAGGGCUUAAGGUAGGAGGUGCCCUUGGGGAAAAUGGGUCCUUGGUCUAGUAGCAAGAUUGCAGAGUAUGCAAAGAAGUCGGAGCCAGGGUACAAGGGGCUUAGGCACCUUGCUAGCGAGGAGGCUCAACCCUUAGUGGUGACAGUGGGACAGUCAGUGGAAUGUCCUGAAGCCUCUCUGGAGGCCCUCUGCAGCCCAGGAACACCUAGGAGUGGAGGUUGGGGAGUAGAGUUUGGAAACACCUUAGAAACAAGAUUGGCUGUACCCCGUGACUGUAAAUGGGGACUCGAGUCUAAAGUCUAAGCUCAAGGCAGCAGGGGUAGCCCGAGGUGCCUGCUGCUGCAUGGAAGGGAAGGGAGAGAGCUGGCCAGGCAAGAGUGGGUUCCAGCAAGUUCCUAAUGUAGCAGACAUUUCAUGUUUGUAUUCACUCAUAUUUUCAUUCACAGCUAUGAGCCUAGCAGUGAGGCCCAACUCAGUUUACAAGGCUUGCAAACCAGGUGUCAACUGGCUGCCUGUCAGACAAUGCUUUUAGGUGACCAGAAGGCAAGGAUUUCCCAGUCCCUGGAAACCAGAUGCCCAUCCUCCAUGCAAACAAGUGAGGUGGAGUGUCCGUGCCAGUGCCCACACCUGCCCGGAGGCAGCUGCUCAGCCCUUCUCCUCCCCUCAAGCACUAAUUGUCUGAGUUACGACCCUACUUUGGUGUCUGGCUGCCUACAAGCAAAGUGAGGAGGUCUCCUUCGGUAGAACUGGUGCUGAGCUGAGAAUGGAGCCCUGGCCCGCCCCUUACUUCCAGAGCCUUGGGAGACAUCAUCAACCUCAGCAUCAGCUUCCUCCUCUGGAAAGCAGCCACCCUCUUAAGUAACUGCAAACCAUGCCGGCAAACUGCAAAGUGCUUAAGGCCAGGCAUGAGGACAGGUCAGGAGGCAGGGUUUCGGGCCUGGCAUUCUCAGAGUGGUCUCGGGAAGAACAAACCUGGACACCGAACUGGACAACAGCAGGACUCUGAGCACUUUGGGAGCUGUGUAUGAUGUGUUGCGGGGGUGGGUUGUGUCCAGAUCAAAGGUGGGGAGGCGGUCUAGGCAGCAGCAGGAGGUGUAUUCGAGGUCUGCAGCAAUUCUUGCAGAGCCUGAAUUACAGUGAGGCCCACACCCUCGUCCUGCUGCCCUGGCCUUGGCCAUCUCCCAUGUCAACCUCAUCUUGAUCUUGCCUACCUCCCUCCCCAGAAGCCAGGGGGCCAUUUGGCAUCAGGAACACAGGGAUUAGCUGCACGGCCAGACCCCAGACCCCCGCCCAGGGGUCCCUCUUUGCUCUCCUGGCCAGCCCCACCCCACAGGCACCAACUUGGGCCAAUGCCAGGCCACAGGUCAGACUCCCAGGCCUGGGACUCCUCUGCCCACCCACAACAACCACUGAUGCUCCUCAGCAAGAGCCAACUUCUGGCUCUGAACGCAGCAGCACCCAGGAUACAGCAAGGUGAAUGCUAGGCACUCGUCCCACAGCCUGGGGUGUAGGGGAGGUCAGAGAUACACACAAAUCAAACUCUCUCCUCACUAUAUAUAUAUAUAUAUAUAUAUAUAUAUACACACACACACACACACACACACACACACACACAUACACACAAGCACACCCCACCCACACUCAUUAGGCCUGGAGGGGGGACUUCAGUUCUCCAUCUUUGGCAUCAAUCUAUCAAAGUCAGCUUUUCUGUACGAGACUGCUCGCUCCUUUCUGUACAUGAAUUAAAUAUAUUAUCUGUCUCUGCACUGAGUCACACGACGUUCACAGUACCGUGGGGAGGAGUGGAGGGUGGGGGCCUGAGGUGGGCAGGGCAGGGGGCCUGGGUAGAAAGGCGAG
rnacentral:lncRNA from 1 species